rnacentral:rRNA from 1 species
AGUGAACGCUGGCGGUAGGCCUAACACAUGCAAGUCGAACGGCAGCACAGUAAGAGCUUGCUCUUACGGGUGGCGAGUGGCGGACGGGUGAGGAAUACAUCGGAAUCUACUUUUUCGUGGGGAUAACGUAGGGAAACUUACGCUAAUACCGCAUACGACCUACGGGUGAAAGCAGGGGAUCUUCGGACCUUGCGCGAUUGAAUGAGCCGAUGUCGGAUUAGCUAGUUGGCGGGGUAAAGGCCCACCAAGGCGACGAUCCGUAGCUGGUCUGAGAGGAUGAUCAGCCACACUGGAACUGAGACACGGUCCAGACUCCUACGGGAGGCAGCAGUGGGGAAUAUUGGACGAUGGGCGCAAGCCUGAUCCAGCCAUACCGCGUGGGUGAAGAAGGCCUUCGGGUUGUAAAGCCCUUUUGUUGGGAAAGAAAAGCAGCAGGUUAAUACCCCGCUGUUCUGACGGUACCCAAAGAAUAAGCACCGGCUAACUUCGUG